UACAGAGGUCCCAAGCGUUGUUCGGAUUCACUGGGCGUAAAGGGUGCGUAGGUGGUCGGGUAAGUCCGAUGUGAAAUCUCCGAGCUCAACUCGGAAAUGGCAUUGGAUACUAUUCGGCUCGAGGGUCGGAGGGGAGACUGGAAUUCUCGGUGUAGCAGUGAAAUGCGUAGAUAUCGAGAGGAACACCGGUGGCGAAGGCGAGUCUCUGGACGAUUCCUGACACUGAGGCACGAAAGCUAGGGGAGCAAACAGGA
rnacentral:rRNA from 1 species